AGGAGGGCAGCGAGCAGGGGUGGAAAUGGGAACCGGAGCGAGAAACGGGAUGGAGGGGGGUUGGAAACCAGAGACCCAAAGAGGUUUUCCCAACCCCUGGAAAAGUGAACAAGAAAUAUGCUCCUUCAAGAAGUAGUUGCGGUUGGACGCAUACCACAGAAGAAACAGAACUCCCCUAACCAUGCAAAUGGAAAGAAAGAUUCUCUCUUUUGUAUUAUGCCAGAUGACAGAGAUGGACAAGCACACUUUAAAAGACAACAGUACAGAGGCAGGAGGUGGGACUAAAUAGAGUACCUAUUCAAGUUGUAGUGGAACCAUAGUCACUUGCAUGAUGAUCUACUAUAAAGUUUUACAGCAAAGAUGAUGGUGAUGGACAUAUGUGUAACAAAAUAAGAAACAGACGUAAUUAAACAACCCCAUAUCACAGAUAUUAUAAAAUCACAAUAUAUUGGAAAUAGUAUAAUCCUGAUCAAAAAGCAAUGCAAUACAGUCGUAGCAAUCUACAGUUUAUAAAAUAAGGUCCAAAACCCACCCAGUGAAAUGCAAAGAAUAGCAAACUACUGAAACUGGUAAAGUAUUCACAAAAUAAAUGGGUAUAUGUAAAGAUAAAUAGAUAUUUUUCCCAUGAUGCACUGGGGGAAAGACCAUACUAACUAGAUAGACUUGAAAGCAACAAGUUUGCACAAGCUGUGAGAGAACAGGAAAAUUAAACUCAUGUAUUGAUAAAGUGCACAAGUUUAGACAUACUGUAUAUAAAAUAAAAGCUAUAUUAGAAGCAGAAGAAAGUUUUAAUUGAUGCAUGAAAAUAUGUACCCAAUUGGAGAAACAGUACUUCAGGGUACAACUUGAAAAAAAAAUUGUAUUAAGGAGAGGCAGAGAAGCUGUAAUAAACUUAGAAAAGUUAUUUUUUAAAGUAGGCAACAGGGAGCUAAUAUUAAUCAUAACAUACAAAAUGCAAACUACCACAAUAUAAUUUCUGAACAAAGAAAAUACAAAUCUAUAAAUGCUGUGAAGAGUAAAGGUAUCACCACAUAUACAUUACUAUAACAAGCAGAGCAUCAAAAGUAGGCAAAGAAACAAGCUGACAUCUACUGAAAUAAGCACAAGCAACAUACAGGGCACACAGGAAAAGAAAAUGGUAAUAGGGUAAAAUACAUAAAAUAUCAUAUUCAGCAAUGCACAAAAUAGAUUAUAAUCACAGAAGCAAAGACAUGCAAUGCUUGAAAAUGAAUAUAUAAUAUUCAAAGAUGUGAAAGUGGAAUACCUGUGAAACAAAGUUAUACACAUGGUGUUUCAUAAGGUUAUUAAAAUUAUUACUUGAAGAGUGAAUACUGGACAAAAAGGAAAACAACAAGAAUCAUUCUUUACAAAAGAAAAAAGAGAAGGUGUCAUCUACAUUUUCUAUAACAGAUGAUCAAGAGAUAACUAUCUUGCAGGUUUAUUUAGAAACUGAUCUUUUUCCACCAGACAGUUUGAAUUUUAUUUAGUCAUUGAAAGAUGGAAUCUUUACCCCAAACAUUCUAACACUUGAAAAAUCUAAUUUAAAUAGUUGAACCUAAACUUUGUGGAAAUAAUGGAGAAUGUCUACACUGGAUCAGUUCUUACUUUUUCAGAAUACCCUUUGUUUAAAAGAUGAAAAAAGACUGACCACUGAAGUACACUAAAGAAAUGAGGAAGAUGCUGAAAAAUGAGAAUUUAAAGUCACAGCACAUGUAUCUGUUGCUUGCAAUAUGAUCAAGAAUAAGGAAAAUGCAGAACUCAGGGGAAGAGAGGUGCAGUUUAAUAAAUAGCUAUUAAAAAUCCUUGGAACAAGGAUUAUGGCUAUAACACCUUGUAAACUGAUCACCAGAUAAGAUUUAAAAAAAAAUUAAGACAAAAUCUGUGUUUUAAAAAAUGUAUUUGCCUAAGUAUUACAAUACAUAUGUGAAAAAGAACUUAAAAUGUACAAGUUAAAAAAAUCCAGAAAAUGAUUAAUCUUAAAGCAUCAACAGUAAACUAAAAGAUUGGGGAGAUAAAAAUCUGAUAAUAUUUGAGCACAGAGGGCUAAAUGAUAUUGUUAUGGACACUAACCAAGCACUGACAAAUACUUUGUUAAUUAUAUGACCAUGCAUAUACAUACAUCUUGGGCUUGAGAUAAAUGGUUAUGAAAAAUAAUUGCUGUGAAAUUGCAUAUAUGUACAUAUACCCUUUGAAGUCCAUACCACAAUAAACUUCAUUACUGUAUAUCACCUACCCCUGUUAACACACUCAUUGCAGGCUCUGAACAUUGACUAGUGUAAAACUUUGCUUAGAAUGGAAAGCAAAAAUUGAGACAAUUAUUCCUAUAUUUGCAUAUAUGAAUAAUUAUGCUUCUCAUCAAUAAUAGCAAACUCAGCUGAAAUUUUAUUUCACUAGUUUAUAAUACUGAUAUCAGAUUUUUGUAGCGAAAGGUAAAAAGCUAACAUUUUGUAAAAAUGUGUAAUUGUAGACUGACUAUUAUGCCAAUACAUGCUCAAGUAUAUCAAUUUUAUAAUAUUACAAUGUCCCACUGGAAGAUGUUAUUUUUAUUUAUUAAAAGAGAUACAUGGAUAAAGAAACA